AAACAGGGACUGCACCUCCUCCACGGUAGGAGCGUUUGUGCUUUUGCUCUUGGGGUUUUUGCAGGCGUUCGAGAAGGCUGCUCGGUUUUUCCUCCGAGGGGGUUUUACAGCCUCUCCAGGGCUUGCAGCCUCUGACUGGGGGAAGCAGGAAGGCCUGUCUCUUCCGCGUGUGAGCCUGCUGCUCCCUCCUGUGCGUGCUCCCACCUCUGGCAAGGAUGGGUUUUUCCAGGGUUUUUUGUUAGAUGCUUGAGGAGCCGAGGGUCCCAGGAGCCAGCAAGAGAAAACUGUAACUUGGGUCAUCUCCAGUGUGCCAGUUCCAGAUUUCACAGCCUAGGCGCCGCAAUGGUUUAACUGAUUCCCCCUCAUGAACCGUGUCCUGAGGAGCACCCCCAGAAAGUCAGUCUAGCCCAGGGAUAGGCAAGAAAUAAGACACAGAGGAAAAACUACCUGAAAAUUCUUAUUUUAAGAGGUAGGGAAGGGCAGCACAGAGGGAAGAGGAUAGACAGGAGAGUGAGGCAGAGGCCAAGGACCCCGUGGGAAGGGAUAGCUGGGUGGGCAGCGAAACCCCUAAGGAAAUGCUGGAGACAGAGCACAAGCGGGAAAAUGGUGGCCACUAACCCUAAAGCCACCAGUGACAGCGGAGGUUUGCUAGGGGCCGACCCCGUGGAAGUUUCGUAAUUGAGUUCUCGUUCCGGCAAACUUGUCCGAGCUUUUUCCGUCUCUAGGAAGCCCAGGGUGUUUGCUGGGAGUGGGAACGGAAGAAGGAAUUUUUCCAGCACUCAACACAAGGUGGCGCCAGACACCCGUGGACGUCAUGAGGUCCCCCUCCUGGUGGGCUCCAGAAGCUGCGAAAAUUCCCUGAAAUUCGAGUCAGGCCGGAUUCAAGAGAAACGGAGAGGUUUGCACGCACAGAAAGUUUCCCUAUCAAAUAGAGCACACCCAAAAUAAGACAAAAACGUUUCUUUGUUUUAAAGAGAUGGGAAGGAGUAACACAGUGGCCAGACAGACGGAAUCUAAGAAACCUCCGAAGAGAAAAAGAAAGGAACGGGCGGCGGAAUCCCCGCGGGACCGGAGACAGGCUGCAUACUCCUAAGGACUUGUUGCCAGAUUGCUCUGUCCUAGAGCCGCUCGUGAUCCCCAGCCUGUGUGGCUGUGCUGCGGCUUCCUGGCAGCCUGUGGUUCCGGUGCUUGCAUUCACGUGCCUGCAGAGGAGGCUGCAACCUGCCCCACCCCCAUUUUCUGCUCUGCCUUUUCAUUGUCCACAGGACUUAGAAACUCCCAGUAUACUAGUCAAUUCACUUAAUAAAAUAGUUACUAUUAUUAUUUUA